GACGAACGCUGGCGGCGUGCUUAACACAUGCAAGUCGAGCGGAAAGGCCACUUCGGUGGUGCUCGAGCGGCGAACGGGUGAGUAACACGUGAGUAAUCUGCCCCUGGCUUUGGGAUAGCCACCGGAAGCGGUGAUUAAUACCGGAUACGACCACUUCUCGCAUGGGAUGGUGGUGGAAAGGUUUUUCGGCCAGGGAUGUGCUCGCGGCCUAUCAGCUUGAUGGUGGGGUAAUGGCUCACCAUGGCUUCGACGGGUAGCCGGCCUGAGAGGGUGACCGGUCACACUGGGACUGAGACACGGCCCAGACUCCUACGGGAGGCAGCAGUGGGGAAUAUUGGACAAUGGGCGGAAGCCUGAUCCAGCAACGCCGCGUGAGGGAUGACGGCCUUCGGGUUGUAAACCUCUUUCAGCAGGGACGAAGCGCAAGUGACGGUACCUGCAGAAGAAGCACCGGCCAACUACGUGCCAGCCGCCGCCGUAA
rnacentral:rRNA from 1 species